GGACCGGGGCACGAACCCGUGUCCCCUGCAUCGGCAGGCGGACUCUCAGCCACUGCGCCACCAGGGAAGCCCGACACUGUACUUUUUAAAAAAUUUAUAUUGACUAGAGGAUGUGGAGCCAGUAAAAUAUUAUGCCCCUCUUACUGCUUUACUUACUGCCUUAGAUGGAUACUUUAACUAGUUCCAUUGGGGUAAAAAAGUAUACAAUCGAAAACUGUUUCAUUGAUAGAUUCAAUACUGUGAAUAUUCUUUAAGUCACCUUUUUAAUUUAUAACGGUUUGUGUUUUUCUUUUUUUUUUUUCCUUUUUCUCUCUUUUAUAGUUCUUAUCUUUCUUUUCCGGUUGUGUUUUUCUGUUUGGCUUUUUUGGGUUUUUUUGAAGAUGCCAUACUAUCUAGACAGGGCUAAUAGAAACAGAAAACGUGAUAUCCACGUAUGGGGCAAGCCUACAGAGGAAAACCCACAUAUGGGGUGGCAAAAGCAAGGCCAAACAGCCUCACAGGGAGGGGGAAGCAUACGCUCAUGAGGAGGGGAAUUCUUCUGGAGCUCUUCAUACUUUUUUUUUUUUUUUUAGUUGCAGUGAUCGGGGGCUACUCUUCGUUGCAGUGUGCUGGCUUCUCAUUUCAGUGGCUUCUCUUGUUGCGGAGAAUAGGCUCUAGGACACCCACACUUGGACCCAAUCAUCAUGCUGUGAGGAAGAUGGUGCCACGUGGAGAGGCCUUGUAUAGAUAUUCCAGCCAACAGGCCCAGCUAAGGUAUCAGCCAACAUCAACCAUUCAACAUGUGGGUGAAUGAGCCUUCAGAUGAUUCCAGCUCCCAGCCUCUGAGUCUUCCAGCUGCAGCCUCAGACAUUGGAACAGAAACAAGCUGUCCCCACUGUGUCCUAUCUGAACUCCUGACCCACUGGGAGCAUAAUAAAUUAUUGUUUUGUGCCACCAA